CUCCUACGGGAGGCAGCAGUAGGGAAUCUUCCGCAAUGGGCGCAAGCCUGACGGAGCAACGCCGCGUGAGUGAGGAAGGCCUUCGGGUUGUAAAACUCAGUCACCUGGGAAGAGAGGUAUGGGGAGUGGAAUGCCCCAUACGAGACGGUACCAGGGGAGGAAGCCCCGGCUAACUACGUGCCAGCAGCCGCGGUAAUACGUAGGGGGCAAGCGUUGUCCGGAAUCACUGGGCGUAAAGCGUGCGUAGGCGGUCUUUCAAGUCCGGGGUGAAAACUCAAGGCUCAACCUUGAGAAUGCCUUGGAAACUGGGGGACUUGAGUACUGGAGAGGCAAGGGGAAUUCCACGUGUAGCGGUGAAAUGCGUAGAGAUGUGGAGGAAUACCAGUGGCGAAGGCGCCUUGCUGGACAGUGACUGACGCUGAGGCACGAAAGCGUGGGGAGCAAACAGGAUUAGAUACCCUGGUAGUCCACGCUGUAAACGAUGAGUGCUAGGUGUUGGGGGUUCAUCCCCUCAGUGCCGAAGGAAACCCAAUAAGCACUCCGCCUGGGGAGUACGGUCGCAAGACUGAAACUCAAAGGAAUUGACGGGGGCCCGCACAAGCAGUGGAGCAUGUGGUUUAAUUCGAAGCAACGCGGAGAACCUUACCAGGGCUUGACAUCCCUCUGACCGGUUCAGAGAUGGACCUUCCCUUCGGGGCAGAGGAGACAGGUGGUGCAUGGUUGUCGUCAGCUCGUGUCGUGAGAUGUUGGGUUAAGUCCCGCAACGAGCGCAACCCUUGACCUGUGUUACCAGCACGUAAUGGUGGGGACUCACAGGUGACUGCCGGCGUAAGUCGGAGGAAGGUGGGGAUGACGUCAAAUCAUCAUGCCCUUUAUGUCCUGGGCUACACACGUGCUACAAUGGGCGGUACAACGGGAAGCGAGACCGCGAGGUGGAGCGAAACCCAAAAAGCCGUUCGUAGUUCGGAUUGCAGGCUGCAACCCGCCUGCAUGAAGCCGGAAUUGCUAGUAAUCGCGGAUCAGCAUGCCGCGGUGAAUCCGUUCCCGGGCCUUGCACACACCGCCCGU
rnacentral:rRNA from 1 species